GUGCUCACUUCAGCAGCACAUAUACUAAAACUGGAACAAUACAGAGAAGAUUGGCAUGGCCCCUGCACAAGGAUGACACACAAAUUCGUGAAGCGUUCCAUAUUAAA
rnacentral:snRNA from 1 species